rnacentral:rRNA from 1 species
UACGUAGGGUGCGAGCGUUAAUCGGAAUUACUGGGCGUAAAGCGUGCGCAGGCGGUUUUGUAAGGCAGGUGUGAAAUCCCCGGGCUCAACCUGGGAAUGGCAUUUGGGACUGCAAGGCUGGAGUGUGGCAGAGGAGACUGGAAUUCCUGGUGUAGCAGUGAAAUGCGUAGAUAUCGUCUGGAACGCCGAAGGUGAAAACAGACUGCUGGGGAUGGGCUGACGCUGAGACACGAAAGCCAGGGGAGCGAACGGG